CUCACUUUAAAGGUACUCACCUCUUUCUUUUGUCUUUGGAAGGAGUUGAAGUGUUUACUUUGCUAAAGAUAUUUUCAUCUCCCACAAGAACAGAAUACAAAAGGUUUUUGGCACAGUGUCAAUGGGAUCAGAGGGAGACUGAACUGGAAAAUAACAGAAAGCAGGGACUAUGGAGAGGAGUGGAGUCCAUUGUUUUUCUGCUUGCUGGAGAGGUUAAGGACAGGUUGCAGCUUAGAUUUUCCCUCAUGGAUUUGUAUGUGCAAUGUAAUACCAGCUUUUCAAAUUGACAAAUGGGUUUUCUACACACUUGCAUUCAAUUUCUAAAAUCCACAUUCUACAGCUCUUUGGAAUACACACCUGAACUGAAGAUGCUUUGAAAUUUAUGGAAUCAUCUUAAGCUGAUUAACCGCU
rnacentral:lncRNA from 1 species